rfam:Ictidomys tridecemlineatus contig037282, whole genome shotgun sequence.
GGGAUUGUAGCUCAGUGGCAGAGCGCUCACCUAACAUGUGGGAGGUGCUGGGUUUGAUCCUCAGCACCA